GAUGAGCAUGCGUCCCAUUAGCUAGUUGGUAAGGUAACGGCUUACCAAGGCUACGAUGGGUAGGGGUCCUGAGAGGGAGAUCCCCCACACUGGUACUGAGACACGGACCAGACUCCUACGGGAGGCAGCAGUGAGGAAUAUUGGUCAAUGGACGCAAGUCUGAACCAGCCAUGCCGCGUGCAGGAUGACGGUCCUAUGGAUUGUAAACUGCUUUUGUACAGGAAGAAACAACAUUACGUGUAAUGUCUUGACGGUACUGUAAGAAUAAGGAUCGGCUAACUCCGUGCCAGCAGCCGCGGUAAUACGGAGGAUCCAAGCGUUAUCCGGAAUCAUUGGGUUUAAAGGGUCCGUAGGCGGUUUAGUAAGUCAGUGGUGAAAGCCCAUCGCUCAACGGUGGAACGGCCAUUGAUACUGCUAGACUUGAAUUAUUAGGAAGUAACUAGAAUAUGUAGUGUAGCGGUGAAAUGCUUAGAGAUUACAUGGAAUACCAAUUGC
rnacentral:rRNA from 1 species